rnacentral:rRNA from 1 species
UACAGAGGUCUCAAGCGUUGUUCGGAUUCAUUGGGCGUAAAGGGUGCGUAGGUGGCGUCGUAAGUCGGGUGUGAAAUUUCGGAGCUUAACUCCGAAACUGCAUUCGAUACUGCGGUGCUUGAGGACUGGAGAGGAGACUGGAAUUUACGGUGUAGCAGUGAAAUGCGUAGAGAUCGUAAGGAAGACCAGUGGCGAAGGCGGGUCUCUGGACAGUUCCUGACACUGAGGCACGAAAGCGUGGGGAGCGAACAGG